GGAAAUCCUGUUUGUCUUAAACCAAAAUACAGGGACAGGCUGAUACUGAUGUCCAAGUCACUGGAGUUUCUUGAUGGAAAAGAAAUAAAAAACCUGGAAAGACAAUUCCUAAUGAAUUGGAAAGCAUCCAAAGAGGCCAAGAAAAUCAGCAAGAAAAGGAGGAACAGAAGUGAGGAUCAAAACAACUCCUACAUAAGUGGGUAAGCCAAAAGUAGUCUUUUUCUCUGAUGUACAGAGAUAUCUUGGAAAGGCAUCUUCAAAGUUUUCUCAAGAAGAUAAAACUACAAUUACUGAAGAUAUAGGGAAUCUAUCCUUGAAGGAAUCUGAAAGCUUGCUAACAAAAACCGAUAUCCAUGAACCUCACCUUCUCCAAAACCCAAAAGUAAAGGAAAAUUUGUCUGAGAAUAAGGAGUAAAUUCUGCCUCCAGUGAUUUGAUUUCUUCAUAGAACGAGGCAACAGCGUGUUUUGAGGGUUUAUAGACUUCGUUUAUCUUGGUGUGUAUGUUGUUUUUUUCUUUAUAGAAUCUGAGACUUUGCUUUAUGUGUGUGAAUUCUGGGAUCUAUUUACUCUAUUAGCUGUUAAAUAAAAUUUACCAGGAAAU
rnacentral:lncRNA from 1 species